GGGAGCAAACAGGAUUAGAUACCCUGGUAGUCCACGCCGUAAACGAUGUCAACUAGCCGUUGGGGAUCUUGAAUCAUUAGUGGCGCAGCUAACGCACUAAGUUGACCGCCUGGGGAGUACGGCCGCAAGGUUAAAACUCAAAUGAAUUGACGGGGGCCCGCACAAGCGGUGGAGCAUGUGGUUUAAUUUGACGCAACGCGAAGAACCUUACCUGGCCUUGACAUGCAGAGAACUUUCCAGAGAUGGAUUGGUGCCUUCGGGAACUCUGACACAGGUGCUGCAUGGCCGUCGUCAGCUCGUGUCGUGAGAUGUUGGGUUAAGUCCCGUAACGAGCGCAACCCCUAUCCUUGGUUGCUAGCAGGUAAUGCUGAGAACUCCAGGGAGACUGCCGGUGACAAACCGGAGGAAGGUGGGGAUGACGUCAGGUCAUCAUGGCCCUUACGGCCAGGGCUACACACGUGCUACAAUGGCGUAUACAGAGGGCUGCCAACUCGCGAGAGUGAGCCAAUCCCUUAAACUGCGUCGUAGUCCGGAUCGCAGUCUGCAACUCGACUGCGUGAAGUCGGAAUCGCUAGUAAUCGCGAAUCAGAAUGUCGCGGUGAAUACGUUCCCGGGCCUUGUACACACCGCCCGUCACACCAUGGGAGUGGAUUGCACCAGCAAGUGGUUA
rnacentral:rRNA from 1 species